AAUAUUGGGCAAUGGGGGAAACCCUGACCCAGCAACGCCGCGUGAGCGAGGAAGGCCUUCGGGUCGUAAAGCUCCGCUCUUGGGGACGAAGAAUGACGGUCACCAAGAAGAAAGCCACGGCCAACUACGUGUCAGCAGCCGCGGUAAUACGUAGGUGGCCGGCGUUGUUCGGAAUUACUGGGCGUAAAGGGCGAGUAGGCGGUAACACAAGUCAGAUGUGAAAGGCGAGGGCUCAACUCGCGGAUUGCAUUUGAAACUGUGUAACUUGAGUGCGGUAGAGGAAAGUAGAAUUCCCAGUGUAGCGGUGAAAAGCGUAGAUAUUGGGAGGAACACCAGUGGCGAAGGCGACUUUCUGGGCCGUAACUGACGCUGAGGCGCGAAAACGGGGGGAGCGAAC
rnacentral:rRNA from 1 species